rnacentral:misc_RNA from 1 species
GUGAAUCAUCGAAUUUUUGAACGCAAAUUGCACUCUCCUCGGAGAGUAUGCCUGUUUGAGGGUCAGCCUAUAAAAAAUCGACAUCGUUGCUGUUUCGCGGUGACUUUCGUCGGAGAUUGGGUUAUCUUAAACCUUUUUUUUUUUUUGGUUUAAGCGACUUAAAAUUUUUCUUCACGAUCCCAUGAAUGUUUUUAAGAUUUUUAUUUCUGAUCAUUUUAAUGUCUAUCGUUCUUUUUUAGACGUGGCCGUUGCUUC